AUUGAACGCUGGCGGCAUGCCUUACACAUGCAAGUCGAACGGUAACAGGUUAAGCUGACGAGUGGCGAACGGGUGAGUAAUGUAUCGGAACGUGCCCAGUCGUGGGGGAUAACUACUCGAAAGAGUGGCUAAUACCGCAUACGACCUGAGGGUGAAAGCGGGGGACCGUAAGACCUCGCGCGAUUGGAGCGGCCGAUACCGGAUUAGCUAGUUGGUGGGGUAAAAGCCCACCAAGGCGACGAUCUGUAGCUGGUCUGAGAGGACGACCAGCCACACUGGGACUGAGACACGGCCCAGACUCCUACGGGAGGCAGCAGUGGGGAAUUUUGGACAAUGGACGCAAGUCUGAUCCAGCCAUGCCGCGUGCGGGAAGAAGGCCUUCGGGUUGUAAACCGCUUUUGUCAGGGAAGAAACGAGUUUCUCUAAUACAGAGACUUAAUGACGGUACCUGAAGAAUAAGCACCGGCUAACUACGUGCCAGCAGCCGCGGUAAAAC
rnacentral:rRNA from 1 species